CCUAGAGUCUCAGGGAUUUUUUUCCUCCCAAUUUUUUCUCUAUCAACACGGUGUCUCAUGAAAAGGAAACAGUCACAAGCCACUGCUCCUUCUAGUAUCAGGUAUUAAUUUCAGUAAGACGACUUUAAUAAUUCAGAAAUAUCGACUCAAACAAAACAAUGUGUGUGGUGCUGCCUAAGAACCGACCUAGCGAUGCAUGGUCGUGGUCAUUACUUUGGGAAUUGAGUACGCUAGGGUUUGGGAAGACAAAACGCAGUGUGAGGCAUCAAUGAAAGCACAUCGCAGGGGGAGGGGAGAGGAAGGAAAGAUCAGAGAGGAUUAAUGACUGCAUUACUGGUGGGAGGGGAGGAGGUAGACGAGGACCCCGUGCAAGGGGAGUGGAAAGGUUCAUUUUGCAGUGACCGUGGACUGGGGAGUGGGAGGAGGGGCAACUAUCAGCAGGAAUCUCCCCCCGUGGAUGGGUCCGUCACUUACGCAGCGGCUUCUAGAAAGAGAAAAUGUGCCUCAGGUCCUCCUCGGUCAUCGUGGGACAGAGGCGAUUGUUGGGAACUGCUAGUCUGGAAAGCGGGGCUGCUUCUCCGGGAUGAGCCCGAGCCCUGCCAAGCCCCUCAAGGCAUUGAAGCUUUAGCUCACCUUAUCCGAAUGGUCAUUGGGCAUCUGGACUUGAGUUAACGACUGAAUUUUUCUGGGAAGCAAGGGACACGUUCUAAAAUAACCCCAGGAUCACUCUCCGAACUUGGCCUGAGUCUAGGCAAGCAGUGUUACUCGGUCGCCUUGAUCUUGGAGCUGCUGUGUACUGGGGACCUCAUACUAGUUGGGUUAACUAUAUUCCCAUUAGCAGUACGCGGGAUCGCAGUACUCGGGACAAGCUGAGUUCAGCUGCUAUGAGUAACACGAUCUGGAAAGACAGCGCUAGCAAGGAAUGAGGAGUGAUACAGUGACUGGAGGCUAAGAGAUAAUGUCUGCAAGUCACCUAAAACCAUUGCAGACACAGGGAGAUUGAUGGAUUUGGAGGACUUCUGGUUGUGAAGACUCUGACGAUUGCUAAAGAGUUAAGUGAAAUACUAGCGUGGUUUUUUUGUGUGUGUUUUUUGUUUGUUUGUUUGUUUGUUUGUUUAUAAAAACAGGCAGAAUGUAGCCCUAUUAAUUGUAAACUGGCAAGAUAAACCAGGAUGCCAGUAACCACUAGACGACAGAUUGUCAAGAAAUCCAGUAAUAACCAUCCACAAGAGUUUAAAGUACAGUGAGGCAAAAUCCUGAUGGCUUUAAAAGAAUAAAGCCUACUGUACCAAUUAGUAAACUUUUAUGAUAGUGUUAGACCAUUAGUGAUAAUGAGGAAACAUUGGAUUUAAUAUAUUUGAACUGUGGUAAGAUGUGAUUCUUUCUUUUUGUCAACACAUUAAAAGAGAUAAAAAGUUCCCCUUUUUGGCUGACUAUUUGAUAUCUAGGGUACAAAUGAACAUCCAGAUAAAGAGGUCCUGAACUUCUGCCAAUACUGUAGGUAUCUUUA
rnacentral:lncRNA from 1 species